rnacentral:lncRNA from 1 species
AUGCAUGACAUCGGUGCUUGAGAAGGUCCAUAAGCCAUUGUCAGUCAUGGGAUAUCUGACUAGUUUUGUCAGUUAAAAAUGUGGACAUCUUGAAUUUUGGAGAUUCUUACGAUGAAGCAGCCUAAACAAAAUAGAUGUAUUUAACUUAUAGUUACAAAAUGCAUCUGUAAUUCCGUAAUGAGUUAGGCACUUACAACACUGGAUUAAUCCUGAACCAGUAUAUUUUCAGAUAUUCAGUAAGUGCUGCUAUUACUUAUGUGUUACUUAGUAUCUGUAACGCUGGAGACUGAAUGUGCUGUUAAGGACCAUCAGGUAGGAUCAGAGGAUAACUGAGAUGGAAGUUGUUGGGAAACUCCCCAAGUUUCCCACAGGGUCACCCCCCACGGCGCGGGAAGCUCAACACUCAAUAUGAGUUCACGGCUUCAACUUUAUUGUAGCAACACACCAUCUUAUAUAGCAUAUAUGCUUCCAGGGAUACAGGGUCUAUGCGACCAAGCGAGUAAGACCUGGAAACACAGAAUGCAACCAAUCAUCAAUAGGAUUAUGAUCCUUAGUAAUGGAUCGAGUGUGAUUAAGCAACCAAUGAAUUUGUUUUUGAAUUGAUUCGCUAUGAUCAGAAAGAUUAAAACAACACAUUCCAUCAAAUUCUUUACAGCCAUGCCCUUGAGCAAGUAAAAGAAAGUCUAUAGCGGCUUGAUUCUGGAGCACAGCAUGACGAAGGCUGUUCAUAUCUUCUAACAUUUCUUCAAGGAUCUCUGAAGUAUGAUUGCUCUGUUUAACAGUCCAACACGCUAGACGUUCGAUCUGUUUCAAGGCUUGGGCGGCAGCAACUCCUGGGGUUAGAAAUGAGGCGAAAAUUCUAACAGUCACACUCCAUAGCUGUACUUCGUUGGAACAGGUACUGUCAAGGGUUUGAAGGGACCGACGCUUUUUGUGAAAAGCAGUUUUAAGUUCCUUAUCAAUCUUUAACCAUUCUAUAAAAUAAUAGCACUAAUCAUAUUAAUAAUAUAACCAUCAUAAUUCAAUCAGAGCCUCGAUUGACAACACACUAAACAUAAGAAAAGAUACAAGGCAAACAGCAUAAUAACAAGAAAUAGUGUUAAACCCAUUAAAAAGAAUGAGUUCCAAUCAACAUACACAGCAGGAAUCAGAAACUCCCUAAGCUAAUCUAUUAUUACUUACUGACCCUUGAAAGGUGGGAAACCACCAGAAAGGAGAGAGAAGAAACAUGGCAGCAGUGGGUGCGAUAGGUAGUGCCAGCAGGGCGUCCCCUGCUUCAAGGUGCACUUCUCCUCUCUCACCCACCACAGACUCUCUCCUGCUUUUAUCCUUCUCAGGGUCUGCAGGGUUUUUCCAUUUGUACACUGCAUCCGCAUGGCCAGUGCGAUAUACAGAGCCUAAGUGGAACACCUGUUCAUAAAGCAAAACAAGCUACUAAGGUCAGCUUUCUCUAUGAGACAAAAUAUUUGCAACUUUAGACUCAACUGUCAGUUCCCUUAAAACUAUCAGAGUAUCUACGAGACAAAAUAUUUGCAACUUUAGACUCAACUGUCAGUUCCCUUAAAACUAUCAGAGUAUCCCAAGAUCAUUCUAUAGUGAGGGG